rnacentral:rRNA from 1 species
GACGAACGCUGGCGGCGUGCUUAACACAUGCAAGUCGAACGGAAAGGCCCUGCUUUUGUGGGGUGCUCGAGUGGCGAACGGGUGAGUAACACGUGAGUAACCUGCCCUUGACUUUGGGAUAACUUCAGGAAACUGGGGCUAAUACCGGAUAGGAGCUCCUGCUGCAUAGUGGGGGGUGGAAAGUUUCGGCGGUUGGGGUUGGACGCGGGGCUUAUCAGCUUGUUGGUGGGGUAGUGGCUUACCAAGGCUUUGCCGGGUAGCCGGCCUGGGAGGGUGACCGGCCACAUUGGGACUGGGGUACGGACCAGAACCCUACGGGAGGGAGCAGGGGGGAAUAGUGCACAAAGGGCGGAAGCCUGAUGUAGCACCGCCGCGUGCGGGAUAACGGCCUUCGGGUUGUGAACCGCUUUCGCCGGUGACGAAGCGUGAGUGACGGUAAUGGGUAAAGAAGCACCGGCUAACUACGUG